GACGAACGCUGGCGGCGUGCUUAACACAUGCAAGUCGAACGGAAAGGCCCUGCUUUUGUGGGGUGCUCGAGUGGCGAACGGGUGAGUAACACGUGAGUAACCUGCCCUUGACUUUGGGAUAACUUCAGGAAACUGGGGCUAAUACCGGAUAGGAGCUCCUGCUGCAUGGUGGGGGUUGGAAAGUUUCGGCGGUUGGGGAUGGACUCGCGGCUUAUCAGCUUGUUGGUGGGGUAGGGGCUUACCAAGGCUUUGACGGGUAGCCGGCCGGGGAGGGUGACCGGCCCCAUGGGGAGUGGGAGAGGACCCAGACCCCUGCGGGGGGAAGAGGGGGGGAAUAUGGCACAAGGGGCGGAGGCCGAAUGCAGAGACGCCGGGUCGGGAAAGUCGGCUUUGGGGUUGUAACCCGUUUUCCCGUGGGACGGCGCGUGGGGGAGGUAAAUGGGUAAAGAAGCACCGGUAACUUACGG
rnacentral:rRNA from 1 species